GACUGACCAAGGCCACUUCGCUUCCCUUUCUCCGCUCUCUCUGCGCCAAUUCUCCAAUCCACUCCCUGCCACUGGGGCGGCGGGUAGGUCUGGGCUGGCCUGUUGGCAUUGCAGGGACCCGGAGCAUUUCAUGGACCGGUGUCCAGCGAUGGAGGUGGGGACGUUGAUCCGGGUCCCGGAUGUCCCACAGGUCACCCCCGGUCAGGCUGGCGAGUACCAAAUACCCAUACAAGGACCCUGUGUAUCACAGCAUCACAUAAUCCCAAUGUAUGGAAACGCCCCAGGAAUUGUUAAUAAUUAGUGGACCUCAAUACAAAGAACCGAUACAGGGUCAUCCCAUGACUUUGCUUCCUGCUUGCUUGAGAAUCUUUCUACGAACUGAACUUUUCAACAAACUGUCUCAAAAGGACAACCAUUAAGAAGGUAAUCAGUGCAACUUUCACCAAUGUUUUAUGUAUGGUUUUUAUAACUUUAACAGAUAGUGCUAUUAAAUGUGUGUAAGAUAUGGAAAGUUUAGUAUUGAAUGAAAGCUCACGUUAUUUAUCUAAACUUGGAGCAAAUGAAAUUUCCAGAUUCUGUAUUGUGUGCAUAUUAUGACACUUUAUAAGGUAUUAACCCAAAGAUCCAUCCCACAUGACAAUGCCACAUGAUGUUUAAUCGAGAAACAGUACGGGGUGUGUCUUAGCUCUGCAACAGCAUCCCAUUGGGAGAUCGCACCGUGGGAUGGACCAAAUCUGCUUUGAUAAAACCCCAAUGCUCCAGUCUAGUCUCUAGUCUAGUCUCCAAGCGCGUCAUCUCUUGUCGAGGGUGGUGUCGUGUGUCGUGUCGCUUAAAUGCGGUGCGCUGCGCUACGCUGCUCUUCCAUCUAGGCCAUGGCUUGAACUACCAACACGCUGCUAGCGUUCUUGCCAUCCAGAACUCAAAACCACUCCGUUGAAACUUUGUGACAGCGAAACCAUGCUUGCUUGCGCCUUUUCAACCCAGGCUCCUAGCCAUCAGCGUGCUUGCAAGUCAUAAAGAGCUUCAACUUUCCGUGACAGAAUCUUCAAAGCUCACGCCGCACAAACGAGAGGACUCAGAAGAAACUUUGUCCACUGUCAAGGCAAGAGCUGUUGAAUCUCUCAAAAUCGCUGGGCAGUCAACCAACCAAUCAAGGCAAAGGGCAUCCCCAGACAUCAUCUACGCAACCGCGAAUCCCCCUUUCCCCUUUCAGCUCAACGCGAGCCAAGGAGACGAAACGACACCGCGGCCAGCAGCACAACCACAAUAAUUGGCGUGGAGAGAGUAUAAAAGCCAGGAGAGACGGAAUCAAGCGAGAGAGAGACGGACUGCUGACCCAGGCCGGAAGCGGAAACCGGAAAAAGAGGAAAAGGAAAGUGCUACUGAGCGUGUCAGAAUAAAAGUCACCGUUUGGGUGUUUAUAACCUUUUUUGUUUUGUUAAUAAAAAAACCUUUCAGCAGUCCAGCCGACCCCUUUGUCCUCUUCCUUCCAUCCCACGAACAUUGUUACAGUAACAAUAAGUUAGAUAAAAAGUUAUCUUUCAGAAAUAAUUACCUAAAAGGAGUAACCUAGAUUAGGUUUUAUGUUUUAGUUUUUAUAUUUUGUUUUCAUUUGAAUUUCAGGUGAAAGCUUCAGUCCUUUUAUUAUUCUUUAUUUACAUUUGCACAUCCCCAGUAGAGCUGUUACAUCACUUUGAUACAAUACCUUGAACAAUAUUUGUAUUUCAUACCUUUUUCAAUUCUUGAAAGAAAAAAAAAUGUACUAGUUCCUCGUGCUAAACAACCUUGCUGAGUUUCUCU